AUCUGGUAAGGCUAAAUACUCCCUAGUGACCGAUAGUGAAGCAGUACCGUGAGGGAAAGGUGAAAAGCACCCCGGAAGGGGAGUGAAAUAGAACCUGAAACCGUGUGCUUACAAGAAGUCAGAGCCCAAUCUAUGGGUGAUGGCGUGCCUUUUGUAGAAUGAACCGGCGAGUUACGUUUGCAAGCAAGGUUAAGGCCUAAAGGCUGGAGCCGUAGCGAAAGCGAGUCUGAAUAGGGCGACUUAGUUUGUAGGCGUAGACCCGAAACCGUGUGAUCUACCCCUGUCCAGGGUGAAGGUGCGGUAACACGCACUGGAGGCCCGAACCCACGUACGUUGAAAA
rnacentral:rRNA from 1 species